rnacentral:rRNA from 1 species
CCCUUAGAUGUCCGGGGCCGCACGCGCGCUACACUGAAGGAAUCAGCGUGGCUUUCUCCCUGACCCGAAAGGGUUGGGAAACCCGUUGAAUCUCCUUCGUGAUAGGGAUUGGGGCUUGAAAUUGUUCCCCAUGAACGAGGAAUUCCCAGUAAGCGCGAGUCAUAAGCUCGCGUUGAUUACGUCCCUGCCCUUUGUACACACCGCCCGUCGCUACUACCGAUUGAGUGAGCCGAUGAAACUGCCGGAUGUGGACUAUUCAUAGUCUGCAGAAGAUAUUUGAAUCGUAGCGCUUAGAGGAAGGAGAAGUCGUAACA